GUUGUCCGGCCUGAGCUUGAUCCUGGCUCAGGACGAACGCUGGCGGCGUGCCUAAUACAUGCAAGUCGAGCGGACUGAUGGGAGCUUGCUCCCUGAUGUCAGCGGCGGACGGGUGAGUAACACGUGGGCAACCUGCCUGUAAGACUGGGAUAACUCCGGGAAACCGGGGCUAAUACCGGAUAACCCGUUCCACCUCAUGGUGGAGCGGUAAAAGAUGGCCUCUGGCUAUCACUUACAGAUGGGCCCGCGGCGCAUUAGCUAGUUGGUAAGGUAACGGCUUACCAAGGCGACGAUGCGUAGCCGACCUGAGAGGGUGAUCGGCCACACUGGGACUGAGACACGGCCCAGACUCCUACGGGAGGCAGCAGUAGGGAAUCUUCCGCAAUGGACGAAAGUCUGACGGAGCAACGCCGCGUGAGUGAUGAAGGUUUUCGGAUCGUAAAGCUCUGUUGUUAGGGAAGAACAAGUGCCGUUUGAAUAAGGCGGCACCUUGAGCGGUACCUAACCAGAAAGCCACGGCUAACCUACGUGCCAGCAGCCGCUAUA
rnacentral:rRNA from 1 species